AUAUACAUUCACAUUCCUAUAGAAAGAACUCGGUUGCCAACGGCACCACCAGGAUGGAAACGAUGCUUUUUGACAUAAAGGAGUUCGGUGUACGACACCUUAAGAUUGUGUUGAAGAGUAAAAGAGUAUUUUGGUCUCUCUGAGAUUGCAAUACCGAACGGUGAGAGAUCGGAGGGACCAGAAGGAAAUCUCAGAUCUAGUUUCUUAUUUAUUUUUCUCCCCUUGUGAUCUCCAGCAUUCUCGAAGUUCAUGUGCCUAAGUAAUCAUUCCUGAC
rnacentral:lncRNA from 1 species